rnacentral:rRNA from 1 species
GACGAACGCUGGCGGCGUGCUUAACACAUGCAAGUCGAACGAAGUGGCGAACGGGUGAGUAACGCGUAAUCAACCUGCCCUUCAGGGGGGGACAACAGUUGAAAACGACUGCUAAUCCCGCAUACUGAAGGAGGGUAUUGCGUUGGAUUAGCUAGUUGGAGGGGUAACGGACCACCAAGGCGAUGAUCAGUAGCCGUUCUGAGACGAUGAACGGCCACAUUGGGACUGAGACACGGCCCAGACGCCUACGGGAGGCAGCAGUGGGGAAUCUUCCGCAAUUGACGAAAGUCUGACGGAGCAACGCCGCGUGAGUGAUGACGGCCUUCGGGUUGUAAAGCUCUGUUAAUCGGGACGCGGUACCGGAAUAGAAAGCCACGGCUAACUCCGUGCCAGCCGCCGCGGUAAUUC